AACCCCACUCGUGCAUCUGAGAUGCUGAUCCACUUUAUCCCACGGGUUUUAAUUUGCUGCCCGAGGCCGCUCGGCUAAGCGGCAUUUAGUGGCUCAGGGAAGAAGGGGAGAGCAGAGCAGCCUGCGGACUCCAGAGAGCCGUGACCUUUCCCAGCACCACGGAGAAAAGCUGCCGAUCUCCCGAGGAGCGAACAAAUCCGGGCACCGCAGGCAGAAACUGGCACUGCCACCAUCUGUAGAAGUGUCACCUCAUUAACCCCAGGCACAGCUGCCAUCCCGCUGCCCUGGGGUGGGGGGACAGGCGGGCACACAGAGCUGUUCCCCAGGGUUUUGGGCCAUGGCACAGCACAAGCCCUCAGUGACCAGGCCUCAAGCAAAUGGCAGCUGAGGCCUUCUCCUGCUGUGGAGGGGCCGUGUCCUGCCUGGGAGCAGCCCUUAGCUGGGACACUGCCACUGUCCCUUUGUCCCUGUGUCCCUGUGUGUGUCCCUGUGUGUGUGUCCCUGUCAGGGGGAGCUUGGUGUGGUGCAGCUGUCCUCCCUGACACAGGGACACAGAGGCCUGGAACAGAUCCCACCGGGACACUUUUGGAGGAGGGCCAGGGGAGCUCCCAGCCAGCUCAGGCCUCAGAGGGAUGGGAUAAAGGUCUUUUCCUGAGGGGCUGGAGGAACAGUCCCACAUGCACCCCCAAAAGAGUCAGCAUUCAUGAGUGUCGGCUGUGGCCAACACCCCGUGGUGUCGGCCACAGGGUGCUCUGGGCUGCUUAAUGGGAAAACUGCAGGAUCCUGCCCAUCCUGUCCAUCCCUGGAGGCAGAGCUGGCACCACCGAGCCAGACAAUGGCCUCUGCUCAGUCCAGGACACUUGGGAAGCUGGGCACUGCAGUGCAGGAGGCACAAAAUGUGGACACAGACUGGGUUCAUCAUAACACCUCCUGUGUAUUCUCCGUAGGGUGUGGGCUAGAGCAGUCUUAAUACACUACAUGCACUGAAUUCACUUUUCUAGCACUCAGAUAAAUUUGUUUUCCUUUCUGAAGCCUGUGCAUGUCUCUGUUCCCAAAGCUAUUUUGAGGUCUCAGGUGUAAUAUCCCUUUGGUUCUCCUGCAGUCAGAUCUGUGUUCUUACAGGUUCUUUGGAUGCCAAGCAACCUUUAGUCACAGAAAUCUUCAUAAAAUAAAAUGAAAUUGUUCCUAAAAUUCUUCCUUCUCCCUAGACAUUCAUGAUGGUUUCAAACUUGGAGACAGCAACCUGAUCCUGACAGACUGGAAUUUUCUUAUAUGAGGUGCUGCUGGGAGAUCUGAGGCAGAGAUUUAAUCAGGACUAGGGGCAGCUAUCAGAGCAGUCUGUCAUGCCUAGGAAACCUCAAAUUAUGUGCUAAUUAUCUACCUACCCUGCCAGGGAAUAAAUAAAUAAUGACUUCAGCUUACUGUGCUAAAGAUAAUUCCAGUUGUAACACGAUUGCAGGCUGUUUUUUUCCGUGGUGUGUUGGAGGUGCAGUAAGGAGCAAUAAGGUUUGCUCAGGAGUCACUGGGUGGGUUUGGAGUCUCGUGGGCUCUGGAGCAGCAGAAUCAAAGCUCAGGAUGGUCCUUUGGAGGGGUGACUGCUGAUCAUUGCCUGCCUCCUGAAAGGGCUGUGUAAUGUAAUGAUGUGUGGCCAGGUGUCUGCUCUUUCCACUCUACGUUCUUGCUCUGUAGUGUUGCUUUUAAUCACAGGAAAGGAUUUUAAAGAGGGAAACAAGCUAUGUCCUCACCUUGACCUUGAAAGCAAAAGAAAAUGCUGACAAGAAGAUCCUUUCUGAUUCAAGGUGUAAGAUGUAUUGUUCAAACCUGAACAUUUCUGAAGCUGUGAUCAAACUAGAUUAGGGUCACACAUGUGAGUGAAAAAUAAUGCCAGUCUUUCUUUUAAGCAUUUGAAAUUAAAGUUUACUCGCUUGCUUCUUUAAAAACUUGAAAAAUUAACAGUUUUUCCAUUCUAGGAGUUCACUGUUUGCUCGAGAACAAAGGCUGCUGGCAGUAGGGGAAGGUGUUUUCAUCUCUUUUCCUAGAUCUUCCUUUCCCUGUUUUAUAUUUGGAAUAAUUAGCUGAAUCUGGUGAAUUUUGUUAGCACCAAGAAUAACUCUACCUGGAUUUGAGGAGGAAGGAAAGCAGGGAAAGAACGAGAAGUAGGAGGAGAUAAAUGUCUGGCAUGGUCCGUGUGUCGCUGUGAUCUAGCACUGGUCAGCCCAAGGGAACAACAGAGCUUUAAUCCUGAGAGAAAAUGAGAGAAGGAGCAUGAAGAGCCAGAAAAAGAGGAAAACUUGGAGAAGGAAGUGAGGAUUCCACAUUCAUGAGAGCAGAAAAUUGGACCUUGCCUUCCCCUUCGGCAACAACUUGUGCUCCAGGCUCCCUAUUCAUCGGUUGGUUUGCUUUACCACUUCCCUCCCUAAAACACUGGCAGUCCCUGGACAGUUUUAAGCAAGCUUUAAGGAAAGACUAAGACCAGGACAUUCAUAUGAAUAUUUUUCUGAGUAAUCAAACUUUGUACUAUGGUGAGCUGUUCCCAAUUCUCCAAACCCACCCAUCAUUUUUGUCAUAUGCUACACAAACAGAGCUUGUUCUUUCCCAGUGCCUCAGCAGCAGCUCACAGGGCUAUAAGCAUGCAAAUUUCUCUAGCACUACAUGCAAAAGCAAUCCCUGGCUGUUGCAUUUGUAGUUCUAAACAUGAAAAAAGCAUUUACAGUUAAUAAUCAUAUUUUAUUGUGGGACUAGCAGUUACAAAGAGAGGCUGUUUCUUCAGUACUGCCAUUUCUGAGGCACCUAAUGAGAAUGUGCUGCCAUGGCAACUAAUGCCAUGAGUUUUUUGGGGGUUUUUGUAAGUAAUUAAACUUUCUAAGUCAAUUUGCCCUUACUUGCCAGGUAAGGAAAUGGAAUAUUGCUUAUUGUUUUCUGCUGGAGCACUGAGGUAACUCAGAGGGCCAGUGGAGUUGGAGCUACCUGAGGAGAUAUCAACUAUGCAAGGCCUUUGUUAAUAAAUUAUUCUUUUCUGAUAUAUGGGAGGUGUGGGAGGGCUCAAUGAAAACUUGUGAAUAAUUCUAUUCCAGCUGGAUUGGUAGAGUGUUGCUAAAUGGAGACAUGAGGUUAAAUACUUUGCUUUGUGCCCAGGUGAAUGUACAGGAGACAAGGAUGCUCAGAUGACAUUGAGACAAAUGUGUGUGAGCAUGAUAUGAUAAACAACAUCUUUGCCAGGCUGAUAGUGGAAUGAGACAGACAUCCCUGAUUCAAGCUCUGCUUGGUGCUGUCAGAUUUAUUUACCAGCCCUCAUAUGCUGUACAACAUGGAGCCUAUUUCCAAGGCACAGAAUGCCCUAAGAACAUAAUGGAGGGAGGGGACCAAGCCUGCUCAAUUCCUGCAAAACAGGGAUCUGUAAAAGUGCCCAAUUCCCUUUGAUGCACAAACAUUGCUGGCUGUUCAGGGCAUCCUUUGCUCAGAGCCAGCUUUGGGAAUACCCAGAACAUAUGGGCCAGCCACAGAGCAGGAUGGAAGAGUGAGGCCCAUUUCAUGCCUUCUUUGAUUCUGCUUGAAUUUCCUGAAGUCACUGUAUGCCUUUCCAAAUGCCUGUCAAACUCAUCUUAAAAACUGCAGCUGUCAGCUAUAAGAUCCUACAAAGUUUAUUUUAGCUACAUGCUGCUUGUGCCCUUUAGCUCAAAAGAGAAUGAGUCUCCAGCAGAAAACAGAGGAAAGAGCCCCUUAAGUGUUUUAAUUUUUAACUGUUAAAAGACUCUGCUUAAGCAUUAGAGACAGAAGCAACAACCCAAAAAGCUGCAGAUGCUUUAAAGCAUUUGGUUUUAUUGAUCAUACUAUUUGCUGUUCCAUUGAAAUUGUAUGAAAUAAGGUAUAAAGAGAUCUUUGUAGUAUAUUUGAUAUCUUGACUUCUGUAGAAGAUCCAAGCAAAUAAUGGGGGGUUUGUAUGUUUGGUGGCUAAAACUGGAAACAAAUUUUCUUUUAGCUUUGCCUGAAUGCCACACUUUAGCUUGUCAUACCAAGCUAAAAUUUGACACAUGUAUUCUUGGUUUAGAAGAAAUUUUGUUAUUGAUGUGAUUUCUUAACAUAACACUGAAUUUGGCUAUUAAAAUUUUUAAAACCUG